GAGCAGGCAGAGGAAGGGGGACGGGACAAACGGGAAACGCAAAGUGGAAGUGAGCAGAGCUGACAUUGACCCGGGCCCAGGAGGGAAGGAGGGCCUGCUCAGUGCGUCCAGGGAUGCCCGGCCUUAGAGGAUCAGAAAUGCUGGCAUUUGUCCCCCUGCAGCUUGAGGGCACCGAGCGUCCAGCCCUGUCUCAGGAAGAGGGAAGUGCUUUUGCAACGUGUCCCUGGAGUAAUUGCAGUCUUGGCAUCAGUGGUGGCUUCUAAGUGGAAAUACAACAUUUUUGAAAAUAGGGGGUUUGCUGACAUGGGAUGCAAGGAGCACAGGCUUAUGAUGGGUCACCAUGGCUACUGCCAGCAGAAGAGGGAUCCAGGGUCCCGCAGGGGUGGAGAUGACCACCCACCCUGCCCGGUCAGUGGAGAGACUCAAUUCCCUGGUGGCUGUCCACGGACUGGCAAGGAAUAACUUUUCAGAAACCCAAGGCACAUCAUCUGCUCAGAUAUUCAUCAUAUGCUCAAAUACUCCUGACUACUCAGUCUGGCUGUAGAUACUUGGGCUGGAAACAGAUACAAGAUGUCAUCUCGUCCCUGCUCCUGCCUAAGGCAGAACUGACUAGCUUUUGAUACAUGGUUGUCUUACUCUUUCCCUGUAUCUCCAGGGAAUGUGAUACUAUGUAUCCCUCUACUCACUUAUCCAUCUAUCCAUCCAUCCACCCACCCACCCACCCAUCAUUUAUUGAAAGAUGAGUAAGAGCAAUCUUUUCCUUUAAGAACUCACGGUAUAGUCUUUUCAGGGGCUCCAAUGCCUAAUCAACAGGAGUAAUUUCUAAUGUCUAACCUGAAUGUCUAAUGUCUGCUAUGUAAUCUAAUGUCUCCUUGUUGUAAAUAAAGAUAAUGGUAAAACAGGGUCAUUCACUCAUUCACAUAUGCAUACAUGAAUGCAUAUAUUCAUUCC